rnacentral:rRNA from 1 species
CCUACGGGUGGCAGCAGUGAGGAAUAUUGGUCAAUGGACGAAAGUCUGAACCAGCCAUGCCGCGUGAAGGAAGACGGCUCUAUGAGUUGUAAACUGCUUUUGUACGGGGGUAAACGGAUAUACGCGUAUCAGUUUGUAAGUACCGUAUGAAUAAGGAUCGGCUAACUCCGUGCCAGCAGCCGCGGUAAUACGGAGGAUCCAAGCGUUAUCCGGAUUUAUUGGGUUUAAAGGGUGCGUAGGCGGACGGUUAAGUUAGAUGUGAAAUCCCGAGGCUCAACCGCGGAAUUGCAUUUGAUACUGUCAGUCUAGAGUAUAGUAGAGGUAGGCGGAAUGUAUGGUGUAGCGGUGAAAUGCUUAGAGAUCAUGAAGAACACCGAUUGCGAAGGCAGCUUAC